GGAUAAUCAAACGGAUAUUCAUUUCCUCAAUGGAUAAUCUUCAGAAACGAAAAUGAACAGACGGAGUCAUUUUCAACGGUUGCUUCCCCAGAAACGGAAAUGAACAGGGUUAACUUUAGACACAUGACAAAACUUGUUGUGGUUUCUAUGCACUAAAUUCCAUAAUUAUGUAUGCAUCCAUAAUUAUGUAAUUCCUUGCCUAGUCCGCACAGUUUGUUUUGUAAUGUGAAAGGGAUUGAAUUUGAACAAGCUUGAGAUAGCAUUGAUUGGGUCAACACAUAAACACAUAAGCACAUAAAUGUUUUUCUUGAAUAUAAAUUUGUUAUUAUCUUGUUAUUGGUUGCUAUAAACUUGACGUCGAUUUGAACAUGGGUAUUCAAGGUAUACCAGGAACCCAGUCGAUGGACUUCAACGUCCUGAAGCAUCUAUCUGAAAAGAUAAGAUGAUCUUCCAAAAAUUCGAUUUUUGAUUACAAGGAAUCACCACAUUCGAAUUAAGGUAUACAACAAUUAAGGACUUAUGGAAAUACCCUUAGGUAUCCUAUCAAGGAUUGGGUAUUCAUCCAGAGUUGUAACUUGCGCCUUGUACUUUGGAGGAAACGGGUACUUAGGAUUUUCGUGGAAAACGCAAGAGACCAUAAUAUGGAAGAAUUUUGGGGGUAGUCUAUUCUCCAAGGAAUACGGUUCCUUGAUUAUCGGUGUUUUAGGGGAUAUCUUGUUUAUACAUGCAACCAUAUCAAUAUAUAUUGCGAUGUAAAAAGAUUUAUUUAUAAACAACAAUUACAACUGUUUCAUGGACCAUGACAAUAAAAGAAAUAAUACAUAAGGCUUGAUUAUUUCUAAAAAAUGUUGUCUUCCAGUUGGUUAGGCGCUCAUCCCUACGCUGGAUUCGCGUUAGCAAGCUUUGGGCAAUUUCUUCGGAAAUGCAUCUCUCCACAGUUGAAGCAAGAACCUGGUGGAAAAUGACCCUGAGCAGGAUUGUUGCCAGCUUGAUUUGGUGCAACAGCAACUGAGCAGACUCUUGCUACAUGGCCUACAAGUCCACAAGUUUGGCAUUUGCGGCACUUUACAUUUGCAUGAUGAUGAAGGCUACAUUGGUUGCACAAGGGUGCAGUUCCAUUGUAGGGCUUCCUAGCAGGGGGUUGAGCUGGUUGGUUGGGGAUGGCUUGAUCAUUGUGAGCAACCAUGGCGAAGUUCUGAGAAGCCUUUCGCUUCUUCGACUUCUUGGAGGAUUCAGUCUGCUCAUCCUUCGGUUUUGAUUCCUGGACCGGUUUCUUGUCACUUUUUCGGGAAAGUUUACCUUUCCUGAUCUGAGAUUCAGUCAAGGUAGCGGAUAGCUCAAUGGCCUGUCUAACUGUAGUGGGAUUACUACCAGUCACAAUGUCUUGUACUGUAACACCCCAAAACUCGUAUUAUUAAUACGUAGGUAUGUUGCCAUGUUAAUUAAAUGAAAUACAAUAACUAAGUUAUUAAACUUAGUUAAAAGCCUAACAAAAUAAGUAAAGGAAUGAAAUUUGUGGCAACUAUGAUGGUGUGAUAAACUUGAGGGACUAGAAUUGCCAAAUUUGAAAUUUAAUUUAAUUAAAACAAAAAUCACACACACACAAGGAGUGUGUGUGCGUGAGAUCGAUCAGGAGAAGAGGAAGAAAGGGGUGAAACCCUAAUUCAAGAAAACCUUCAAAUUGAAAGGGGAAAUAAGCCCUAAUCGGAUGCAUGGACUUAGAUUCUUGAUCAUCCAGACUUUCUACACAUGAGGUAAGUUGUAGAAGUUAAUGUGAUGAAUUGGUAUGAAGUGAAUCUAUGAUUAAACUGUGAAAUCUCAUGAAAUUGUGCAUGUAGAGGUGUUAGAAUAACCAUUUAGACUAUGUGUUAUGAACAAGUUCAAGUAAUUUGAUGAUUUAAGAAGAAACCCACAAUUUUGAAUGAAGGUGGCGACAUGGGUGUUCUACCCAUGUCCAAUCCUUGCUUGAUGUAUUUAUUCCUAGCUUGAAAUGGGUUUUGAGAUGUUAGUUUAGGGUUAAUUGUAUGAAUGGGAUGUGAUUUUGAGCACUCUCUUGGUGAUUGGAAUUAAGUUAGUGACUAUGCUUAAACUAGUUGUAAACUAUGCAUAGUAGAUUGUACGCACACCAAGUGCUUGAUGAAAUGCUUAGGUGAGCUUAAUAGAUGAGAUUGUAUGCAAUUAAUGGAUGAAUACGCAUAGAAGGUGUUAAUGAUGUAAUUGAUAGUAAACUAACAUGAAUAAUGUGCUUUAGAUGAAGUUCAUAUGAUAAUUUGGGUUGAAUGCAUGUUUUGAUCAAAAUCAUGCAUUUGGGGAUUGUACCUUAUGCUUGUAUGGUGUGACGGUCACCAUGGAAUUGAUUAAUUUUUUUAAUGGUGAUUAAGAAGUGAAUGUGUACUAAAUAUAUAACAUAUGACCAUACUAGUAAAGGAUGAUGUUAUGAAUUACGCUAAGUUGUCUAAUUUAGCAAUGUGGUUGUCAAAAUGUAGAAUCAUGAAAGCUUAAGUAUGUGUGAAUUGAUUAUGUGUAUAUUUUGUAUGUGACUAGGUGAUCAUGUAGUUGUAUGUGUCAUACAACAUUGUGCAUGGAAUGAAUAUGAUGUCAUUAAUAUGGUCCACCAUAUCAACAUAACGUGUGUUCAAAAUGUUGGAAGUUAUAUGCUAGAAGGUUGACUUUCUGAAAGUCAGCCGAGAAUAUGUAGCAUGGUUAGGCCUUUUAACACAAAUAUAAGAAUCAAGAGAUCAUGGAAUGUGUGUUAGACAAAUUAAGUGCUAUUUGUGAUAACGAGUUGGAAUUCGAAAAUAUUGAGUAACGUGGUUGACAAUUCAUGUCGAAUGCGUGUUAGUGAAAGUUAAUGUAGAUAAGAGUUGGAAAAUGUGUGUUAAUAUGAAUGAGCACGAAUACUAACAUUAUUAUGGCAUGACGGCAUGAAAGGAUAGGAACCACACUAGCAUGGACCAAGCAUGGAAGGCUAACGGGUCAAAAUGAGACAAGGAAGCGGUUACGAACACGGAUGCACAAGGUCGUUAAAUGCUUGGAGCUUGCACGAGGAAGGAGUCGUUGUGGGAUACGGACUGUUAUGUUCCGUGCCUAAUAUUUAAAUCCUUAUGAACUUAUUAAACUUACGCUUUGGACUUUAAACUUAUGAACAAUGGACUUAUGUUUUUG
rnacentral:lncRNA from 1 species